rnacentral:rRNA from 1 species
UACGAAGGGGGCUAGCGUUGCUCGGAAUCACUGGGCGUAAAGGGUGCGUAGGCGGGUCUUUAAGUCAGGGGUGAAAUCCUGGAGCUCAACUCCAGAACUGCCUUUGAUACUGAGAAUCUUGAGUUCGGGAGAGGUGAGUGGAACUGCGAGUGUAGAGGUGAAAUUCGUAGAUAUUCGCAAGAACACCAGUGGCGAAGGCGGCUACCUGGACCGGUUCUGACGCUGAUGCGCGAAAAGCGUGGGGGAGCAAACAGG